rnacentral:rRNA from 1 species
AUUUGAAAUCUGGCACCUUCGGUGUCCGAGUUGUAAUUUGAAGAAGGUAUCUUUGGUUUUGGCUCUUGUCUAUGUUCCUUGGAACAGGACGUCACAGAGGGUGAGAAUCCCGUGCGAUGAGAUGCCCAAUUCCAUGUAAAGUUCCUUCGACGAGUCGAGUUGUUUGGGAAUGCAGCUCUAAGUGGGUGGUAAAUUCCAUCUAAAGCUAAAUAUUGGCGAGAGACCGAUAGCGAACAAGUACUGUGAAGGAAAGAUGAAAAGAACUUUGAAAAGAGAGUGAAAAAGUACGUGAAAUUGUUGAAAGGGAAGGGCUUGAGGUCAGACUUGGUUUUACCAGGCCAGCAUCAGUUUGGAUGGCAGGAUAAUAGCUUAGGAAUGUGGCACUGCUUCGGUAGUGUGUUAUAGCCUGGGUUGAUACUGCCUGUCUAGACUGAGGACUGCGUCUUUGACUAGGAUGCUGGCAUAAUGACCUUAAGCCGC